UAGUGAUUUCAUUAUUAUAGCAGUAUGAUGUUUUAUUUUCACUCUUUCAUGUCUUCUUGCCUGCUGUUUCUUCUUCUAGUUCUGGCAUUUUCACCCUUUUCUUUUUGCUUACCUGUGACCAGUCUUCCCCCUCUGCUUUCUCCAUAAUUUUCUGGUUUCAGUAUUCUUCAUAAUAUCUUCCAUCUGCCCCCAAAGUAUAGCUCAGCUAGCUUAAACCCGCUUCAGCUGGAGUCCCCUGUCAGCCAGCCAGAGUCCAGCCCCAUCAAACUGCUGCUGCUGGGCUUAAGAGCUGGUCUAUUGACUCUUCUCACUGUUCAGGUGCUGUAGCCAAUCCAGCAGCCACUAUAGGCCAGCUGCACUCUUUAGGUUGCCCUGAGACUGGUUCUGCUACAGAACCUGAUUCUUGACAGUACACCAACAGCUCCAUGAAGGUGCCUCCUUAGGGCCAGGUUUCUCUGGCUACUUCCAAAGGAACUCUCUCAAUAGGUCUGGGGUAUGGAUGUUCUCUACUGGUUUCAAAAACUGCUCAUCCAGACUGUAGCUUUCCCAGACCACCAAACAUUGGAAAAACAAGUAAACAAUCUAAGCCUGAUGAAAAAGAGAUGAAGAAGCACACCGAUGACACAGUAGUCUAAAACACCCAAAAUCUCUUUUGUGGGUUUCUGUUUAAACAUUCAACAAGAAAAGAAACAAGACUGAGUCUUCUGGAGUCCAAUAGCUGAAAUCCAUCUGGGAAGAAUAGUAGUCAUUUUAGUAGACAGCCAACACAACUCAGGGAUCUUUCCAAAAGAAAUUAACAGAACUACUUUAAGGUGAUUUUUGUCUGUUCCUGUGAAGCACAGCAGUGACUUCUACAGCAUCUCAAGUUCUACAAUACAGAAGUCUGCUGAGAGAUCAAAUAGUAUCGGCACCAGCAGGUGACCUUUCUCUGUUCUCCUGAACCACUGUCACUAACAUUAUUGCCAUAUCUUGUCCAGGUCUAUAUCCUGGAAUUGGAAGAUAUCAGAUGCUAUUGGAUUUGGUCAAACAUUAGCUUCCCAAAGGCCUUCCUCAAAAGGAGUGGUUAGAUAUGAGACAAUAAUUAGGAGAACAUUAAGGACAAGAAAUGGUUUUCUGAGUAUCCUUGACCACAGGUUGAGAAGUUGCUGUCUUUAAGGAAGGCCCUAAAAAUCUCUGCCUAUAAAGGAUUCAGGUAUUCUCAGUAGGCUUCCAGCAGCCAUGAAGAUAUUGGAUCAAAAUCACAGGUGGCUGACUGCAGAUCUUCUGGAGCAUUAGAACCUCUAGUGGCAGAAAUUGGAUGAAAGUCAAUCAGGGAAGGAGGUGCAUUUGCUCCCUCCUGCUUUCAUAUUGUUACCAUAGAUUCUGUGAGAUUGUCUUGAAUCUGGUUAAUAUUAUGAGACAAAUAGACUAAAACUCCUCACAAUGAGAAAGUGCCCACUGGGAAAUUGCCUGAAGGUAAUCUGGAUUGAUUGCAUGGACCGCCAUCUCCAACAGUUUUACUGGUUGUGACUUCGAAAAGAUUAUCACAGAGGAGAAGGACCUCUCUAUCCAUUUGAUUUAGGAAUUAAAUCCUUGUGUUGCGGUUAGUCAGAUUUGGUGCCCAAAUCUUUAUCCUCCCCCUCCUUUAUUGACUCAGCAUCUUUAGCACUCUUCAUUCAGAAAAUAUUUGGCAGGUACUCUGUCAUUGUACUUGUAAACUCCUUAGUUGGUUAUGUUUCACUGUGGAGGGUCCAUCCUCUAUACAUCUUUCUGCUGGAGGAAUUCUGGGUUCUGAAAAGAGAAGAGGAAGGUGACCCAAUGUUUGGUUGAGCUUUUUUCCUGAAGAAGCAAUGGAUGGCUAUACCAAUGACAUACUUUUUAAAAUAGAAUUUGAACAUCCUUCAUUGGCAGAUUUGUCUGGAACAUCCAAAAUAGCAGGGUUUUUUUUCUCCAUAAGAACAUUUCUGAUCCAGCUAGAGUAACUGGAGAACAGCAAACCACUUCCUCCUCAUCAAUCCUACCUUCAACUUAACAAUCAUAAGUCUCACUUUACUGAUAAAUUGACCAGAAUGCAGCCUCAAUCUUGUCUGAGUGAAAUAAUUGUUUAUUAUAAAACACACAAUGAAAUGGUUAGCCAAUGAGUGUUAAAGAUGCUGCUACACUCUGGCUCCUGUGUGUGUGUGUAUAUGUAUGUGUAUACAUACAUAGAUGUGUAUAAAAAACAUCUGUAAUGUGGAAAACUUCAAAUAAAAUGUUAAAAGUAAUUGAA